ACAACCUUCUUGCAUGACGGGGUUCCUCUCCAUGUUGCAGGUGAACCAGCAUUCUCGAAGAAGGCUGCAAGGCAGAGCGCGGCAGAGCUUGCGCUCGCUCUUGUUCGUGGGAGGACGACAGCCGG
rnacentral:SRP_RNA from 14 species